rnacentral:tRNA from 1 species
UGGCUGAGUGGUAAAGCGCUUGGCUUCCGAACCAAAGGAUCCGGGUUUGAAUCCUGG